rnacentral:rRNA from 1 species
CAUUAUUGAAUUUAAUGAAGAGUUUGGUUGUAGCUGGCUCAAUUGAUUUUUUAAAUUGAAAUUUCAAUUUGAGCAUGUGCACGCCUUUCUCUUUCAUCAUCCAUACACACCUGUGCACCUGUGAGACAGAUUUAGGGGAACUUUCAUUAUUCUUAUUAUUUUGAGGGGGACCCUGCUGUCUAUUUAAUUUAUAUAAACUCAAUUUAUUUUAAAAUGAAUGUAAUGGAUGUAACGCAUCUAAUACUAAGUUUCAACAACGGAUCUCUUGGCUCUCGCAUCGAUGAAGAACGCAGCGAAAUGCGAUAAGUAAUGUGAAUUGCAGAAUUCAGUGAAUCAUCGAAUCUUUGAACGCACCUUGCGCUCCUCGGUAUUCCUUGGAGCAUGCCUGUUUGAGUAUCGUGAAAUCUUCAAAGUAAAUCUUUUGAUCACUCAAUUGAUUCUAUUUUGGUAUUGGAGGUAUUAUUGCAGCUUCACACCUGCUCCUCUUUGUGCAUUAGCUGGAUUCUCAGUGUUAUGCUUGGUUCCACUUGGCGUGAUAAGUUAAUUUAAUCGCUGAGGAUACUCUCUAUAACCAAAGGGGGGGUGACCAAGGUAGAUACAGAUGAACCUGCUUCUAAUAGUCCAUUGAUUUGGACAAAAAUAAACUAUUUAUUAUGAUCUGAUCUCAAAUCAGGUAGGACUACCCGCUGAACUUAAGCAUA